AGAGUUUGAUCCUGGCUCAGAAUCAACGCUGGCGGCGUGCCUAACACAUGCAAGUCGAACGAGAAAGUGGGAGCAAUCCCAUGAGUAAAGUGGCGACCGGGUGAGUAACACGUGACUAACCUACCCUACAGUGGGGGAUAACCUCGGGAAACCGGGGCUAAUACCGCAUAACAUCGCAAGAUCAAAGAAGCAAUUCGCUGAAGGAGGGGGUCGCGGCUGAUUAGUUAGUUGGUGAGGUAACGGCCCACCAAGACGAAGAUCAGUAGCCGGCCUGAGAGGGCGCACGGCCACACUGGAACUGAAACACGGUCCGGACUCCUACGGGAGGCAGCAGUGGGGAAUUUUGCGCAAUGGGGGAAACCCUGACGCAGCAACGCCGCGUGGAGGAUGAAGUCCCUUGGGAUGUAAA
rnacentral:rRNA from 1 species